rnacentral:rRNA from 1 species
AACGAACGCUGGCGGCAGGCUUAACACAUGCAAGUCGAGCGCCCCGCAAGGGGAGCGGCAGACGGGUGAGUAACGCGUGGGAAUCUACCCAUCUCUACGGAAUAACGCCUGGAAACGUGUGCUAAUACCGUAUACGUCCUUCGGGAGAAAGAUUUAUCGGAGAUGGAUGAGCCCGCGUUGGAUUAGCUAGUUGGUGGGGUAAAGGCCUACCAAGGCGACUAUCCAUAGCUGGUCUGAGAGGAUGAUCAGCCACACUGGGACUGAGACACGGCCCAGACUCCUACGGGAGGCAGCAGUGGGGAAUAUUGGACAAUGGGCGCAAGCCUGAUCCAGCCAUGCCGCGUGAGUGAUGAAGGCCCUAGGGUUGUAAAGCUCUUUCACCGGUGAAGAUAAUGACGGUAACCGGAGAAGAAGCCCCGGCUAACUUCGUGCCAGCCGCCGCCGUAAUAC